UAGGGAAUAUUGCAAAAUGGGCGAAAGCCCGAUGCAGCAACGCCGCGUGGGCGAUGAAGGCCUUCGGGUCGUAAAGCCCUUUUGAGGGGAUGAGGAAGGACAGUACCCUCAGAAUAAGCCUCGGCUAACUACGCGCCAGCAGCCGCGGUAAAACGUAGGAGGCGAGCGUUAUCCGGAUUUACUGGGCGUAAAGCGCGUGCAGGCGGAUUGGAGAGUUGGAUGUGAAAGCUCCCGGCUUAACUGGGAGAGGUCGUUCAAUACUUCCAGUCUUGAGUGCAGUAGAGGGAAGUGGAAUUCCGGGUGUAGUGGUGAAAUGCGCAGAUAUCCGGAGGAACACCAGUGGCGAAAGCGGCUUCCUGGACUGUAACUGACGCUCAGACGCGAAAGCUAGGGUAGCAAACG
rnacentral:rRNA from 1 species